rnacentral:rRNA from 1 species
GACGUAGGGCGCGAGCGUUGUUCGGAUUUAUUGGGCGUAAAGCGCGUGUAGGCGGUUUCUUAAGUCUGAUGUGAAAGCCCUGGGCUCAACCCAGGAAGUGCAUUGGAUACUGGGAGACUUGAAUACGGGAGAGGGUAGUGGAAUUCCUAGUGUAGGAGUGAAAUCCGUAGAUAUUAGGAGGAACACCGGUGGCGAAGGCGGCUACCUGGACCGAUAUUGACGCUGAGACGCGAAAGCGUGGGGAGCAAACAGG